GUCCACUAUAUAGUGUUAUAUGGUUGGUUCAAUGUAUUUAUGUCAACUGUAGCUCACAGUCCUGUUUAAAACAUAUAUAAACUUUAUUAAAACUAAACAAACGGUGCAUCUUGGUGAUGUAAGAGAGCAUGGUUGAAUAUGGUAUAGUUGAAUUAAGCCCUCCUUUGAGAGAAAUGCCCCACACUGGUACGGUUUACUGUAAACGAGGCUUGUUAGCAAACCGCUGGCUGUGGAGCUCACGGUGCAGUGAGCAGGGCUGCGUGGGGCUGCAUGCGUGGGCAGCCAUGACACAAAUGACUCAGCAUUUUGCUACCCAGCAGAAAAUAAAAAAAAAUCCCUUAAUAAAUUUUACUCUGAACGUACAACUUUUAGUUCAGACAAUUGAACUCUCACUUAAAAUAACCGAUUCUUUAAUAGCGCUAGUCUUAGAGUUUAGACUGGGUGUGAAAAGUGCUUACAGAACUGUGGCAGAAGCUGCCAGAGCUCCGGCAGGCACUGUGUGGGCUUCAGUAGCAGAGUCGUCGUGCAGGCUGCGCCCAAAAAGGGUGAAGAGUCAGUGUGAAGAAUGUCUGGGCAGGAAGUGUUUCAGAUUUCUGAAGACUCUGUAUGUCUUUCUAGAUUAUUUAAAGCAUAAUUAGGCAAAUUGUGAUAUAAUAAUGGUGUAAAGCUGUUGAUGAUAGUUGUAGGUGAUAGUUGUUAUAAAUGCCCGAGCAGAGUGGAAUUAAACGCUGGUUGUGUGUGGUGGUGUGUGGUUUUGUGUGUUUUCCCCUCCUUCAGUGAGUGGAGCUGUAGCGGAGGCAGUCAGUAGAUCAGCAGGCUGCUGUUGAGCUCUGUCUGUCUUGUCUGUGUUUCUACUUAAGGCUUAAUUGCUGUUGUAAAGCUGCCCAUGUUUUCAUGUCUGGCCUCUGCUUACAUUCUCCUUCUCUGUCUGUCUGUCUGUCUGUCUGUCUGUCUGUCUCUCUCUCUGUCUUUCUUUUGCCGAUCUGGCCACAGCCCUUUGCCUAACCACGCAGCCAUCAAACGCACAAACUCGGCUUUUCUCUCGCCUACAAACGACUAAAUUGGAUUAAAAGAACUAUGUGUGUGUGUGUGUGUUGGCUCAUCUUUUUUUGUUUGAUCUCUUUUGGGCCUUUUUUUGGGUGUGAUUUUC
rnacentral:lncRNA from 1 species